CCUACGGGAGGCAGCAGUGGGGAAUAUUGGACAAUGGGGGAAACUCUGAUGCAGCGACGCCGCGUGAAGGAAGACGUAUUUAGGAAUUGAAAACUGUUUUAGCAGGGAAGAAAAUCACGGUACCUGUUUAAGAAGCCCCGGAUAACUAGGUGCAAGAAGCCGCGGUAAUACGUAGGGGGCAAGCGUUAUACGGAUUUACUGGGUGUAAAGGGGGCGUAGACGGCAGGACAAGUCAGGAGUGAAAUGCCGGGGUUCAACUCCGGAACUGCUUUUGAAACUGUGCAGCUAGAGUGCAGGUGAGGUAAGUGGAAUUCCUGGUGUAGCGGUGAAAUGCAUAGAUAUUAGGAGGAACACCGGUUGCGAAGGCAGCUUACUGGACUGUAACUGACGUUGAGGCUCGAAAGCGUGGGGAGCAAACAGGAUUAGAUACCCUUGUAGUC
rnacentral:rRNA from 1 species